ACAGGUGGCUGAUUCAUAGACCGGUCACUUUGCAUUGAAGCAACACUGGAUACAGACAGGUGGCUGAUUCAUAGACCGGUCACUUUGCAUUGAAGCAACACUGGAUACAGACAGGUGGCUGAUUCAUAGACCGGUCACUUUGCAUUGAAGCAACACUGAAUACAGGUG